ACUGAAGGCCUUGCACCUCUGAAUGCUCUCUGAGGUGCAGCCUUUUCUCC
ensembl:miRNA